GGUUAAGUUAGAAAGGGCGCACGGUGAAUGCCUUGGCACUAGGAGCCGAUGAAGGACGGGACUAACACCGAUAUGCUUCGGGGAGCUGUAAGUGAGCUUUGAUCCGGAGAUUUCCGAAUGGGGAAACCCACUGUUCGUAAUGGAACAGUAUCUUUAUCUGAAUACAUAGGAUAUUGAAGGCAGACCCGGGGAACUGAAACAUCUAAGUACCCGGAGGAAGAGAAAGCAAAUGCGAUUUCCUGAGUAGCGGCGAGCGAAACGGAAUUAGCCCAAACCAAGAGGCUUGCCUCUUGGGGUUGUAGGACACUCUAUACGGAGUUACAAAGGAACGAAGUAAAUGAAGCGACCUGGAAAGGUCCGUCGAAGAAGGUAACAACCCUGUAGUUGAAACUUCGUUCCCUCUUGAGUGGAUCCUGAGUACGGCGGAACACGUGAAAUUCCGUCGGAAGCUGGGAGGACCAUCUCCCAAGGCUAAAUACUACCUAGUGACCGAUAGUGAACCAGUACCGUGAGGGAAAGGUGAAAAGCACCCCGGAAGGGGAGUGAAAGAGAUCCUGAAACCGUGUGCCUACAAGUAGUCAGAGCCCGUUAACGGGUGAUGGCGUGCCUUUUGUAGAAUGAACCGGCGAGUUACGAUCCCAUGCAAGGUUAAGCUGAUAAGGCGGAGCCGUAGCGAAAGCGAGUCUGAAUAGGGCGUUUAGUAUGUGGUUGUAGACCCGAAACCAGGUGAUCUACCCAUGUCCAGGGUGAAGUUCAGGUAACACUGAAUGGAGGUCCGAACCCACGCACGUUGAAAAGUGCGGGGAUGAGGUGUGGGUAGCGGAGAAAUUCCAAUCGAACCUGGAGAUAGCUGGUUCUCUCCGAAAUAGCUUUAGGGCUAGCCUCAUGUUGUGAGAGUCUUGGAGGUAGAGCACUGAUUGGACUAGGGGCCCCCAACGGGUUACCGAAUUCAGUCAAACUCCGAAUGCCAAAGACUUAUCCAUGGGAGUCAGACUGCGAGUGAUAAGAUCCGUAGUCAAAAGGGAAACAGCCCAGACCACCAGCUAAGGUCCCCAAGUAUACGUUAAGUGGAAAAGGAUGUGGAGUUGCUUAGACAACCAGGAUGUUGGCUUAGAAGCAGCCACCAUUUAAAGAGUGCGUAAUAGCUCACUGGUCGAGUGACUCUGCGCCGAAAAUGUACCGGGGCUAAACGUAUCACCGAAGCUGUGGAUUGACAUCUUUGAUGUCAGUGGUAGGAGAGCGUUCUAAGUGCUGUGAAGUCAGACCGUAAGGACUGGUGGAGCGCUUAGAAGUGAGAAUGCCGGUAUGAGUAGCGAAAGACAAGUGAGAAUCUUGUCCACCGAAUGCCUAAGGUUUCCUGAGGAAGGCUCGUCCGCUCAGGGUUAGUCGGGACCUAAGCCGAGGCUGAAAAGCGUAGGCGAUGGCCAACAGGUUGAUAUUCCUGUACCACCUCCCCGCCGUUUGAGUAAUGGGGGGACGCAGUAGGAUAGGGUAAGCGCGCUGCUGGAUAUGCGCGUUCAAGCAGUUAGGCUGAUGAGUAGGCAAAUCCGCUCAUCAUAAAGGCUGAGCUGUGAUGACGAGGGAAUUAUAGUACCGAAGUUCCUGAUUCCACACUGCCAAGAAAAGCCUCUAGCGAGGCGGGAGGUGCCCGUACCGCAAACCGACACAGGUAGGCGAGGAGAGAAUCCUAAGGUGAUCGAGAGAACUCUCGUUAAGGAACUCGGCAAAAUGACCCCGUAACUUCGGGAGAAGGGGUGCUCUGGUAGGGUGUAUAGCCCGAGAGAGCCGCAGUGAAUAGGCCCAGGCGACUGUUUAGCAAAAACACAGGUCUCUGCGAAGCCGCAAGGCGAAGUAUAGGGGCUGACGCCUGCCCGGUGCUGGAAGGUUAAGAGGAGGGGUUAUCCUUUGGGAGAAGCUCUGAAUCGAAGCCCCAGUAAACGGCGGCCGUAACUAUAACGGUCCUAAGGUAGCGAAAUUCCUUGUCGGGUAAGUUCCGACCCGCACGAAAGGCGUAACGAUCUGGGCACUGUCUCAACGAGAGACUCGGUGAAAUUAUAGUACCUGUGAAGAUGCAGGUUACCCGCGACAGGACGGAAAGACCCCGUGGAGCUUUACUGUAGCCUGAUAUUGAAUUUUGGUACAGCUUGUACAGGAUAGGUAGGAGCCUGAGAAGCCGGAGCGCUAGCUUCGGUGGAGGCGUCGGUGGGAUACUACCCUGGCUGUAUUGAAAUUCUAACCCGCGGCCCUGAUCGGGCCGGGAGACAGUGUCAGGUGGGCAGUUUGACUGGGGCGGUCGCCUCCUAAAAUGUAACGGAGGCGCCCAAAGGUUCCCUCAGAAUGGUUGGAAAUCAUUCGUAGAGUGUAAAGGCACAAGGGAGCUUGACUGCGAGACCUACAAGUCGAGCAGGGACGAAAGUCGGGCUUAGUGAUCCGGUGGUUCCGCAUGGAAGGGCCAUCGCUCAACGGAUAAAAGCUACCCCGGGGAUAACAGGCUUAUCUCCCCCAAGAGUCCACAUCGACGGGGAGGUUUGGCACCUCGAUGUCGGCUCAUCGCAUCCUGGGGCUGUAGUCGGUCCCAAGGGUUGGGCUGUUCGCCCAUUAAAGCGGUACGCGAGCUGGGUUCAGAACGUCGUGAGACAGUUCGGUCCCUAUCCGUCGUGGGCGUAGGAAAUUUGAGAGGAGCUGUCCUUAGUACGAGAGGACCGGGAUGGACACACCGCUGGUGUACCAGUUGUCUUGCCAAAGGCAUCGCUGGGUAGCUAUGUGUGGACGGGAUAAGUGCUGAAAGCAUCUAAGCAUGAAGCCCCCCUCAAGAUGAGAUUUCCCAUAGCGCAAGCUAGUAAGAUCCCUGAAAGAUGAUCAGGUUGAUAGGUCAGAGGUGGAAGCGUGGCGACAUGUGUAGCUGACUGAUACUAAUCGAUCGAGGACUUAACCAA
rnacentral:rRNA from 1 species